rnacentral:pre_miRNA from 1 species
CAAGUACUCCCUCCGUCCAGAAUUACUUGUCAUCAAAAUGGAUGUGUCUAGAACUAAAAUACAUAUAGAUACAUCCAUUUCAAUGACAAGUAUUUUCGGACGGAGGGAGUACAAG